rnacentral:rRNA from 1 species
AGAGUUUGAAAAGGCUAAGUCGGAACAAGGUAAGACGAAGCAAGGUACUAGAGUUUGAUCUUGGCCAAGUCGUAACAAGGUAAGUAGUAACAAGGAAUGAGAGUUAGUCCGCAUUAAAGAUUGGGACAGGUAUGGGGAACCUUUGCUAAUACUUUUAUAGCUUUUUACUGAAACGGGUAAAAUUGCCUUUAGAUGAGCGCGCGUUUGAAUAGCUAGUUGGUGUGGUAAGAGCGCACCAAGGCAACGAUCAGUAGCUGGUCUGAGAGGACGACCAGCCACACUGGGACUGAGACACGGCCCAGACUCCUACGGGAGGCAGCAGUGAGGAAUUUUCCGCAAUGGGCGAAAGCCUGACGGAGCAAUACCGCGUGAGGGAGGAAGGUUCUUGGAUUGUAAACCUCUUUUCUCAGAGAAGAAUAAUGACGGUAUCUGAGGAAUAAGCAUCGGCUAACUCCGUGCCAGCAGCCGCGGUAAUACGGAGGAUGCAAGCGUUAUCCGGAAUGAUUGGGCGUAAAGGGUCUGUAGGUGGUUGUUCAAGUCUGCUGUUAAAGCGUUUGGCUUAACCAGAUAAAGGCGGUGGAAACUGAACGACUAGAGUGCGGUAGGGGUAGAGGGAAUUCCCAGUGUAGCGGUGAAAUGCGUAGAUCUUGGGAA